UUAAGCUAAUAAGAGCGCAGGGAGGAUGCCUUGGCAUCAGGAGCCGAUGAAGGACGCGGUAAGCUGCGAUAAGCUCCGGGGAGUGGCAAGCACACUUUGAUCCGGGGAUUUCCGAAUGGAGCAAUCCACAUGGGUGUCGCCCAUGUAUCAUACACUGAAUAAAUAGGUGUAUGAGGGGAACCGUCUGAACUGAAACAUCUAAGUAGGACGAGGAAAAGAAAUCAACCGAGAUUCCGCUAGUAGUGGCGAGCGAACGCGGAAGAGGCUAAACCAUGGUCAGCAAUGACCGUGGGGUUUGGACUGCAUUUAGUAUCAAUGAGAUCUAGUCGAAGUACAUGGGAAGGUACAUCGAAGAGGGUGAGAAUCCCGUAGACGAAAGGUCGAGUUGGCGAGCAGUAUCCAGAGUACCGCCGGACACGUGAAACCCGGUGGGAACAUGGGGGGACCAUCCUCCAAGCCUAAAUACUACCUGAUGACCGAUAGCGCAUAGUACUGUGAAGGAAAGGUGAAAAGAACCCCGGGAGGGGAGUGAAAGAGAGCCUGAAACCCUGUGCUUACAAGCACACAGAGCACGUCAAUGUGUGAUGUGGUACCUAUUGUAGAAUGGUCCGGCGAGUUAUUUUAUGCAGCGAGGUUAAGAACCUAAGGUUCGGAGCCGAAGUGAAAGCGAGUGUUAAUAGCACGACACAGUUGCAUGUAAUAGACCCGAAACCGGGUGACCUAUCCAUGUCCAGGCUGAAGUGAGGGUAAAACCUCAUGGAGGGCCGAACCGACUCCCGUUGAAAUGGUAGCGGAUGAGGUGUGGAUAGCGGAGAAAUUCCAAUCGAACCCGGAUAUAGCUGGUUCUCCCCGAAACCGUUUUAGGACGGGCCUCGUGUGAAGAUUAUCGGAGGUAAAGCACUGAAUAGCCUAGGGGGCGAGAGCCUACCGAAGCUUAUCAAACUCUGAAUGCCGAAUAAUCGUUUCACGGGAGUCAGACUGUGUGAGAUAAGUUUCAUAGUCAAAAGGGAAACAGCCCAGACCCACAGCUAAGGUCCCAAAGUGUAUUUAAGUGGAAAACGAUGUGAAGUUGCGUAGACAACCAGGAUGUUGGCUUAGAAGCAGCCACUCAUUAAAAGAGUGCGUAAUAGCUCACUGGUCGAGUGACUUUGCGCGGAAAAUUUAACGGGGCUAAAAUACACACCGAAGCUUGGGCUUGACGCAAUGCGUCAGGGGUAGGGGAGCGUCGUGUAAGGGGCGAAGUCGUAUCGUAAGGGACGGUGGACUUUACACGAGUGAGAAUGCCGGAAUGAGUAGCGAGAAUUAUGUGAGAAUCAUAAUGGUCGAAAGCCUAAGGUUUUUGGAGGAAGGUUCGUCCGCUCCAAGUUAGCCGGGAGCUAAGGUCAGGCGGAAACGCGUAGCCGAUGCACAUACGGUUGAAAUUCCGUAGCCUCAGAAAGAUUUAAGCAGAGGGACACUUUGAAAGGACUGUAGCCGGGUGUUGGUUACCCCGGUCGUAAGGGAACGAAAUUAAGUAGUGAAGGCAGUCUGGACGGAGGCGAGAAAAGCUCUGUGUAUAUCUGAUGAGCCCGUACCGCAAACCGACACAGGUAGGUGGGAUGAGAAUUCUAAGACCAACGGGAGAAGGGUAGUUAAGGAACUCGGCAAAUUGUCCCCGUAACUUCGGAAUAAGGGGAGCCUGCUAACGCAGGCCGCAGAGAAUUGGCCCAGGCGACUGUUUAUCAAAAACACAGCUCUAUGCUAAAUCGAAAGAUGACGUAUAUGGGGUGACACCUGCCCGGUGCUGGAAGGUUAAGAGGAGAUGUGAGAGCAUCGAAUUGAAGCCCCAGUAAACGGCGGCCGUAACUAUAACGGUCCUAAGGUAGCGAAAUUCCUUGUCAGGUAAGUUCUGACCCGCACGAAUGGUGUAACGAUCUGGGCACUGUCUCGACUACCCGCCCGGCGAAAUUGUAGUACCGGUGAAGAUGCCGGUUACCCGCGACUAGACGGAAAGACCCCAUGGAGCUUUA
rnacentral:rRNA from 1 species